rnacentral:rRNA from 1 species
AGCGAACGCUGGCGGCAGGCCUAACACAUGCAAGUCGAACGAAGUCUUCGGACUUAGUGGCGGACGGGUGAGUAACACGUGGGAACGUGCCCUUUGGUACGGAAUAACUCAGGGAAACUUGAGCUAAUACCGUAUGUGCCCUUCGGGGGAAAGAUUUAUCGCCAUUGGAGCGGCCCGCGUCUGAUUAGCUAGUUGGUGAGGUAAAGGCUCACCAAGGCGACGAUCAGUAGCUGGUCUGAGAGGAUGAUCAGCCACAUUGGGACUGAGACACGGCCCAAACUCCUACGGGAGGCAGCAGUGGGGAAUCUUGCGCAAUGGGCGGAAGCCUGACGCAGCCAUGCCGCGUGAAUGAUGAAGGUCUUAGGAUUGUAAAAUCCUUUCACCGGUGAAGAUAAUGACUGUAGCCGGAGAAGAAGCCCCGGCUAACUUCGUGCCAGCCGCCGCCGUAAAAC